CUUGCUAAUAUAUUCAUAUUAAAUUAAACAGAUUAAAUAAAAAUUAAUAAAUAAAAUAACUUAAGAAGGACAACUAGAAGCUUCAACAGGACAAGUCUUUUACCCCU
rnacentral:rRNA from 1 species